AUGGCUCAGUGAGGCCUUGGGACUGGCUCAGAGAGGUCGGCAACGACCACUCAGAGCCGGAAACUUGGUCAAACUUGGUCAUUUAGAGGAAGUAAAAGUCGUAACAAGGUUUCCGUGCCUGACACCCUCCGGGGUUCGAGGCCGGGAUGAGAAGUGAUUCCUUCCACAGGUGGCGCUUCGGAAGCCUUAGCAGCCUGAAAGGGUGGCCCUCUAACGACGAUAAACAAAAAGAGGUGCUGAAAUGCUAGUCAGUUUAAUACACUGGCGACACCGUCAAAUUGCGGGAACCCCCUAAAGACUUCUGCUACCAAGCAGUGCUGGGAAACCUCACUGUGGCCAGGGUAAUGACCUCGGGUAUGGUAACAACGCAGAGUAUGAUCCUCUGGUAUUCAGUGGUGAAAUGGGCGAUCUGCAGCCAAGUCCGUCGUGCUCCUUUGGGGUGCCGGAUGCCGUUCACAGGCCAAAUGGUGGUGGGUUGAUUUGGGAUCAAGUCAGCUUAAGAUAUGGUCGGACCCCUGGGAAACCUUGUGGGGCAGUCACCACGUAGUCAAUGGAGGCGGGGAGCGAAAAAGUGCAAGCUUCUCGCCAUGGGCGACUACGACAACCAGGAGUAAUGUACUUGGAGAAUACGGGCAUAGGCUUUUGGGAUGUUCUGAGGGAAAGUCAGAAAGUGGUAGUUGUUAUUGUCUAAGUGUUGAAGAUCUAAUUGAAGAAUCGAAGAUCAAAGGUGCAAGGCAUAUUGCCAUGUAUCGCCGCGCACAUACCCAUAUUGGCUUGACAAUGAUUGUGUAAAUCCACCUCUGACCAGCCCGCAGGCACCAUUCCCAUCUGCCAGUACCAAAUCUGCAAUUCCAUGUACAUGAAACACAACAACCUUGACCUAUUGACACUGUUUCCUUCGCUGAUCAGGGUCGUUGGAUUGAUAUUCCUAAGACUUGAUUAGUAGACUGCACAGAUCACACACUGGAGCGGGGAACUUACCUGAAGUAUGUUCUCCGAUGUACAGAGUGUGGGAGACAUCGCUGGCUUGAGGAUCGACGCCGUAGUGAGCUUUGAAAGCGAUGGUGUGCAUCAGGUACUUGGUGCCGGCAUAUCUGAUCUGAGUGUAGCCGUCAUGCGUUUGAGCGUAUGGUGACAACACUGGCUUUGCAGGCCAGAUCGGAGGGGAGACAAGCAAUUGGUGCAAUUCAGUUUGAGUGAGGUGAGGAUUGUGCGAACCGAAGUCUUUUGACCGAAUGCAUUGAUGGACUGCUGCGAUGCACUGAGCUUGAGUCAAGUUUGAAACAGACAUCGUGAAUUCGAUAUCUGAUCCAUGACGAGAUGGUGGCAUAGUGCUGCAGAAAGUCAGAGAGAAUAUCAAUGCAAAAGUGGGACGCACCUACCUUUUCUACUCAUCCUGCCUAUUUUGAGGUUGAUUUGUGCAGGUGCAAUACAUAUAGUUCAUUUUUUGGAAGGCGCGAGGGUUCAAUUCUAGCAGGCGCGACUACUUUUUGGUUUUUGCAAAAUCGGAAGGUGCGUGGGCCACCGUCGAUGGCAGCGGCGCCCCUCGUGGGCGUAGUUGCCGUGGGAGUGCCCCCUGUGUAAUUGAACGUGGCCCGCCCUUCCCAAUGAACUAGCUAUACUGCAUACACGCUCCUGGGUGUACCACAAAAAUGUUCCGUAGGUGAACCUGCGGAAGGAUCAUUACCGAGUUAGGGUCUCUCCAGGCCCGACCUCCCAACCCUAUGUCUACUGAACCUUCGUUGCUUCGGCGGACCCGCCUUUGGGCCGCCGGAGGACCGCCCCAAGGCGUCCUCUGGCCCGCGUCCGUCGACGGCCAACCUCAAAAACGCUGAAAUAACCGUGUUGUGUGUCUCAGUCCCACGAUUAAAUUAAAGCAAAACUUUCAACAACGGAUCUCUUGGUUCUGGCAUCGAUGAAGAACGCAGCGAAAUGCGAUAAGUAAUGCGAAUUGCAGAAUUCCAGUGAGUCAUCGAAUCUUUGAACGCACAUUGCGCCCUUUGGCAUUCCGAAGGGCAUGCCUGUUCGAGCGUCAUUAUCACCCCUCGGGCCCCGUGCCCGAUGUUGGACGGCUGGUUGGGCAACCGACCCCUCCUAAAGACAAUGACGGCGGCCUGUGGCGCCCCCGGUACACUGAGCUUUUCACAGAGCACGUACCGGACGAGGGCGCCCGGGACCCGGUCCUCUCCUUUCAGUAGGAAACUUCUCAAGGUUGACCUCGGAUCAGGUAGGAAUACGCGCUGAACUUAAGCAUAUCAAUAAGCGCAGGAAAAGAAACCAACAGGGAUUACCUCAGUAACGGCGAGUGAAGCGGUAAUAGCUCAAAUUUGAAAUCUGGCCUCUCGGGGUCCGAGUUGUAAUUUGUAGAGGAUGUUUUGGGUACCGCCCCGGUCUAAAUUUCUUGGAACAGAAUGUCAUAGAGGGUGAGAAUCCCGUCUUGGACCCGCGGUAGGGCCUGUGUAAAACUCCUUCGACGAGUCGAGUUGUUUGGGAAUGCAGCUCAAAAUGGGUGGUAAAUUUCAUCUAAAGCUAAAUAUUGGCCAGAGACCGAUAGCGCACAAGUAGAGUGAUCGAAAGAUGAAAAGCACUUUGAAAAGAGAGUUAAACAGUAUGUGAAAUUGUUGAAAGGGAAGCGCUUGCAACCAGACUUGAGCGCGGCGGUUCCCCCGGCCUUCUGGCCGGGCUACUCCGCCGUGUCCAGGCCAACAUCGGUUCUGAGGGUCGGUCAAAGGCCCCGGGAAUGUAUCUACCCACGGGUAGACUUAUAGACCGGGGUGUCAUGCGGCCUCUCGGGACCGAGGAACGCGCUUCGGCUCGGAUGUUGGCGUAAUGGUUGUCAGCGACCCGUCUUGAAACACGGACCAAGGAGUCUAACAUCUAUGCGAGUGUUUGGGUGUCAAACCCGGAACGCGGAAUGAAAGUGAACGGAGGUAGGAAGCUUCGGCUGCACUAUCGACCGAUCCUGAAGUUUACGGAAGGAUUUGAGUAAGAGCAUAGCUGUUGGGACCCGAAAGAUGGUGAACUAUGCCUGAAUAGGGUGAAGCCAGAGGAAACUCUGGUGGAGGCUCGCAGCGGUUCUGACGUGCAAAUCGAUCGUCAAAUUUGGGUAUAGGGGCGAAAGACUAAUCGAACCAU
rnacentral:rRNA from 1 species